CCUUUUAAAAAAUACAACCUUCUCAUACAUCAUAGUAAUAAAUUAAGGUUCUGUAUCCCAUGAAUCUGUUUAUUUCUAGACAGUAUUAACACAGGAAAUCAUUGUUGGAGAGUAUUUGGCUGAAAGAAAUGGCUAUUUUGUAGUCUGUUCAACUAGAGGAAGCAUUUGUAAUUGCUGAUUGAUUGCUUCAGUCUAGAGAAUAUUCAAACACCUCCGCUCUCUGUCUUUGUUUCUUAUUUAGAUGCCUUGCGACAGCUAUAAUCUUAGAACUGCAGAGCUGGAAGGGACUCUGGAUCACACAGCUGAAGAAUGUAUUAAAUCUGUUUUGUGCUUUUCAACAUGUUAAAGAGUAGGAAACUAAAAGUAGGCGUUUAAAAAAUUAAAGAAACAUUGUCCCCCAUGUCCAUAGGGGACAGUGCUAUUCAUCUUUAAAAGUUAUCCAGAGGAUUGUACUUGCACCAGAUGGGUCUUUAGAAGCAUCAAGGGGUAUGAUUGUAAAUACAAUGGCAAAUUCACAUCCAUGUGGAUGCCAUCAUGCCUUGCAGGCGAAGAAAGACCAGCCAUUGCCAAGAACAGAAAAAACAAGAAGCAUUUAUUGUUACCAGCCAGGACUGGGUGUCCUCAAAACAAGAGAUUUGAAUCGUUGCUCCUCAGAGGCAGCCUCUGCUUUCAAACACCCUAAAUAAUUUGCUAUCAUCUAUGAAAUCUGGACUGACUGAAUACCUUAGGGAGUUGGCCUAUCAGGGGUCGGGAGUUCAAUGCCCCCAGAAGAAGGGAAUGGUAACCCACUUCUGAGUACACUUUACUUAGAAAAUCCUGAGGAAAGUUGCCAUAAAUUGGAAUCAGUUCCAUGAUGCUUAAUUAAAU
rnacentral:lncRNA from 1 species